AACGGCGAGUGAAGCGGCAAGAGCUCAAAUUUGAAAUCCGGCCCCCUCGGGGGCCUGAGUUGUAAUUUGCAGAGGAUGCUUCGGGCGCGACCGCGGUCCAAGUCCCCUGGAACGGGGCGUCGUAGAGGGUGAGAAUCCCGUCUCCGGCCGGCCGGUCUCGCCCGUGUGAAGCUCCUUCGACGAGUCGAGUUGUUUGGGAAUGCAGCUCCAAAUGGGUGGUAAAUUUCAUCUAAAGCUAAAUACUGGUCGGAGACCGAUAGCGCACAAGUAGAGUGAUCGAAAGAUGAAAAGCACUUUGAAAAGAGAGUUAAACAGCAUGUGAAAUUGUUGAAAGGGAAGCGCUUGCGACCAGAGUCGGCCGCGGGGGUUCAGCGGGCAUUCGUUGCCCGUGCAAUCCCCCGGCGGCCGGGCCAGCGUCGGUUUCGACGGCCGGUCAAAGGUCCCCGGAAUGUGUCGCCUCUCGGGGCGUCUUAUAGCCGGGGGUGCAAUGCGGCCAGUCGGGACCGAGGAACGCGCUCCGGCACGGACGCUGGCUUAAUGGUCGUCAGCGACCCGUCUUGAAACACGGACCAAGGAGUCUAACAUCCACGCGAGUGUUCGGGUGUCAAACCCGUCCGCGCAGUGAAAGCGAACGGAGGUGGGAACCCCUGAGGGUGCACCAUCGACCGAUCCUGAAGUCUUCGGAUGGAUUUGAGUAGGAGCGUGGCUGUUGGGACCCGAAAGAUGGUGAACUAUGCCUGAAUAGGGUGAAGCCAGAGGAAACUCUGGUGGAGGCUCGCAGCGGUUCUGACGUGCAAAUCGAUCGUCAAAUUU
rnacentral:rRNA from 1 species